ACCCUGUCUCAAAAAGACAAAAAAAGAAAAAAAGAAAAGAAAAAAAAAGGAAAAAGAAUAAUUCUUGACAUGUUUCUCUGCUUGGACUUUACACUCCUUUGUUUUUUCUUGAACACUGGCACUAGCACAGGGAUUGGAGAACUCUUGGAUACUCGCUAAAGAACCAAGCCCCUUUCUACUCCUUCCAGCUUGAAAUUCCUGGGAAAGGCCUUGUUUUGUUGGAGGGGUGGGUUCCAGUACAAAGUCUUCUGUUGUCCCAGGCAGGUACCUUAGUGUGACUGAGGAGGAAAGGGUGUCCUUACAGGCUGCACAUGAGGCUAAUACAGGCGCAAUAGGAAGAAUGGAAGGAGCCAAAUACCAGUACCUGGGAGUUGAGCCACAGCAUACCUCUACACCUCAGAGAGUUGGCAAUGGAGAGCUGAAUGCCAGCAGCCACUGGGCUGGGAGCCAUUUACUGGGACCGAAGGUGCCCACAGAGGACAAAAGAGGGCAUCAGAUCCCCUGGAACUGGAGUUAUGGAC